rnacentral:sRNA from 1 species
UGACGUCAUAACAAUGCUCUCGAGUAGAU